UACGUAGGGGGCAAGCGUUAUCCGGAAUUACUGGGUGUAAAGGGAGCGUAGACGGUAAUGUAAGUCUGGAGUGAAAGGCGGGGGCCCAACCCCCGGACUGCUCUGGAAACUAUGUUACUGGAGUGCAGGAGAGGUAAGCGGAAUUCCUAGUGUAGCGGUGAAAUGCGUAGAUAUUAGGAGGAGCACCAGUGGCGAAGGCGGCUUGCUGGACGAUGACUGACGUUGAGGCUCGAAAGCGUGGGUAUCGAACAGG
rnacentral:rRNA from 1 species